rnacentral:lncRNA from 1 species
CGAGUUUGUCUUCUGUCGCACCUUGCGUUUUCAUUUCCUGCAAUUUUACGUACGAGAUUAGUUUGCAUGAUUAUACUUAAAAAUGGGAAAUUUUUUUUUAUUUUUUUUUACAUACAGCUGGCAUGUCGACGGAAUAUGUGAUGUCAUCGAAGGUUAGAGAAUGGGGUUCGAAGGGAAGAAUCAUUCCUCUCUUGCGGUUUGCAUUGGCUUCGAUUGCGUCUGUUCUUGUGGAUGAAGAACCGGAAGACAUGCUUCUUCGUCUGAUCGCGUUGCCUUGAGCUGAAACAGGGUAAUCUUCGGUGUCUUGAGGUAAUACAGCUUGAGUUUUAUCGAAAGCUGCAACGUAUGGUUUUUUAUAUGUUAAAGAUUGAUAAAUUAAUUUUAAAAAUAAUAUAUUAAAAAAAAAUGAAAAACUUACGGUCGAGAUAUGUGAGAGCUAAAAGAUAGAGGAUGUUGAAUAGAAAAAUGAAACCGAAUGUUGCCCCUGUUCCAAUCCAGUACCAAUACGGUUGAGGAAAGAAGCCUCGAGAUUCCAUCACUAGAACUCCUAAUUUCGUUCCGUUUACCAACUAUAAAAAACGGUAACAUUCUUGAUUAGAUUUUUCGAGAAAAAUAAAAAAAAAAAUUAAAAAGCUCGAUGCUUCGACUUACUUUGCUCCACUGAUGCCCUGUGAAUUCAUUAACGAUAAUUGCAUUCUGAGCGUACAUCAAAGGAGAUGACCAAAAUGCCCAUAUCCACCAUUUCAUUACAUCCUCUGCCAUAACCAAAAAACAAAAUCGAGUGUCAUGAAACAGUGUUAUUUAUUAAAUGACGACUUUUUAUUUAUUUUUCUUUCGUACCUCGUGCUAGGACAACUCCACCUAGCGCGAAAAGCAUGAGCAAGGCAAACAAGCCGAACGUGUUUGCGACGAUCAUAUUUCUACCAGCUGCACCGAU